UGGGCGUAAGAGCUCGUAGGCGGUUUGUCGCGUCUGCCGUGAAAGUCCGGGGCUCAACUCCGGAUCUGCGGUGGGUACGGGCAGACUAGAGUGAUGUAGGGGAGACUGGAAUUCCUGGUGUAGCGGUGAAAUGCGCAGAUAUCAGGAGGAACACCGAUGGCGAAGGCAGGUCUCUGGGCAUUAACUGACGCUGAGGAGCGAAAGCAUGGGGAGCGAACAGGAUUAGAUACCCUGGUAGUCCAUGCCGUAAACGUUGGGCACUAGGUGUGGGGGACAUUCCACGUUUUCCGCGCCGUAGCUAACGCAUUAAGUGCCCCGCCUGGGGAGUACGGCCGCAAGGCUAAAACUCAAAGGAAUUGACGGGGGCCCGCACAAGCGGCGGAGCAUGCGGAUUAAUUCGAUGCAACGCGAAGAACCUUACCAAGGCUUGACAUGAACCGGUAACGCCUGGAGACAGGUGCCCCGCUUGCGGUCGGUUUACAGGUGGUGCAUGGUUGUCGUCAGCUCGUGUCGUGAGAUGUUGGGUUAAGUCCCGCAACGAGCGCAACCCUCGUUCUAUGUUGCCAGCACGUGAUGGUGGGGACUCAUAGGAGACUGCCGGGGUCAACUCGGAGGAAGGUGGGGACGACGUCAAAUCAUCAUGCCCCUUAUGUCUUGGGCUUCACGCAUGCUACAAUGGCCGGUACAAAGGGUUGCGAUACUGUGAGGUGGAGCUAAUCCCAAAAAGCCGGUCUCAGUUCGGAUUGGGGUCUGCAACUCGACCCCAUGAAGUCGGAGUCGCUAGUAAUCGCAGAUCAGCAACGCUGCGGUGAAUACGUUCCCGGGCCUUGUACACACCGCCCGUCAAGUCACGAAAGUUGGUAACACCCGAAGCCGGUGGCCUAACCCCUUGUGGGAGGGAGCUGUCGAAGGUGGGACUGCCGAUUGGGACGA
rnacentral:rRNA from 1 species